GAAGCUGCGGUGGGCGCCCUGGUCCCUGCUGGCCUCCUGCCCGGUUUCCGUCGUGGCCAGGCACGUUGUCCAGGGUUUCCAGUUGAAGCGCUCUGCGCCUGACGCUCCCGGUUUUCUCUCCGCGGAUGCUUGCCGCUGGCUGUGCUGUGUCGUGCUUUGUGUGUGCGCGGCCGCAGCCGGUGGCUGUCGGUGGCGGUUUUCUGGACGAUAAACAGUGGCUCACUAACAUCUCUCAGUACCACAAGGAAGUCGGACAGUGGAACAAAUUCUGAGAGGUGGAUAUGUGGUGAUGGGAUUGCAGGAUCAAAUGAUAGCUUCUGUUCUAUUGCCAAUUAAGCUGCAUGACUUGGGGUGCAGGGAAUGAGUGUUCAAUGAGAAGAAAAAGGAGAAAUAUCUGCACGGAGGGGAAGAAAAGUGGUCAAUUUGGACAAAGAAAUAAAACUCAACCAUUGCUGAUUUUUGAGUAAUCAGGAUUGAUAAAAUUACCUGGCUCUCCAGUUCCUUGUGGCUGUGCAGGUAUAGAUAGCUACAGAAUCCAGGGCAGGAUUGUUGGUGGAAGCCGGAACACACAAGUUAACUAUCUCCAAGGAAUAUUGGUGGUGUGUUCAAUAGUGAGCUAGAGAAUGGCUCUGAAGAUAGGCAUGUUUAAUUAAAUUAAAACUUCUCCAACACAUACCUGAAAGUUUGGGCAGAUCGCAUUCUAUUAACUCUGUUUCUUUUCCUUUCAGCUUGUGAUGAGGAGUGUGUGGGUGUGCCGCUGAACAACUUGGAUGACAUUAGUGAUGCCAUUCUUUCUAUGAACCUCACGAGCAUUAUCCCUCUCCCUUAUGGAAUUUUGUCAAAACUGGAAAAUACAACUGAGUAUCUUCAGGAAUCAUUACUGAAAGAAAAUAUGCAAAAGGAACUGGCAAAAUUUAAACUUGAAGGUGUUGCCAAAGAGAUGGACGACCUGUAGAAGAAGCUCACUAGAGUGGUAACAAGUAGCCAAAAGGAGAAUAAGAAAACUGAGCGAAUCUUCAAAGAGAGUCGGGACCUGGCCACGUUCAUCGACAGGCUGCAGAGGGACAUCCAAGAAAUGGUUGAAAAGGCAACAACUUUGAAUCAGACUUUGGAUGAAGAUUUCCAGCUGCCCAGCUUGAUGCUUGAGAAUAUGCAGCGGAACAUUUUAUCUUUGCUCAAAACCAUACAGAAAAGGUUGUACCAAAAUGCAGUUGUACCAAAAU